GGGUAUAGCUCAGCGGUAGAGCACAUGCUUAGCAUGCAUGAGGUCCUGGGUUCAAUUCCCAGUACCUCCA
rnacentral:tRNA from 1 species